UUGGGUGACAUUUGUCCUCCUUA
rnacentral:siRNA from 1 species